UACGGAGGGAGCGAGCGUUGUCCGCAUUUACUGGGCGUAAAGCGCGCGUAGGCGGGAAAUUAAGUGAGAAGUGAAAGGCUGGGGCUUAACCCCAUGCAGUGCUCCUCAUACUGGUUUUCUUGAGGGUGGUAGAGAGAAGUGGAAUGGCUGGUGUAGCGGUGAAAUGCGUAGAUAUCAGUCGGAACACCAGUGGCGAAGGCGGCUUCUUGGGCCAUUACUGACGCUGAGGCGCGAAAGCCAGGGGAGCGAACGGG
rnacentral:rRNA from 1 species